rnacentral:rRNA from 1 species
ACGACUCUCGGCAACGGAUAUCUCGGCUCUCGCAUCGAUGAAGAACGUAGCGAAAUGCGAUACUUGGUGUGAAUUGCAGAAUCCCGUGAACCAUCGAGUCUUUGAACGCAAGUUGCGCCCGAUGCCAUCAGGUUGAGGGCACGUCUGCCUGGGCGUCACG